GUACAGAGGUCUCAAGCGUUGUUCGGAUUCAUUGGGCGUAAAGGGUGCGUAGGCGGUUCGACAAGUCGGGUGUGAAAACUCCGGCUCAACCCGGAGACGCCACCGAUACUGUCGUGACUGGAGUCCGGUAGGGGAGUGGGGAAUUCCUGGUGUAGCGGUGAAAUGCGCAGAUAUCAGGAGGAACACCGGUGGCGAAGGCGGGUCUCUGGGCCGUAACUGACGCUGAGGAGCGAAAGCGUGGGGAGCGAACAGG
rnacentral:rRNA from 1 species